rnacentral:rRNA from 1 species
UACGUAGGGACCAAGCGUUGUUCGGAUUUACUGGGCGUAAAGGGCGCGUAGGCGGCAAUUCAAGUCAGCUGUGAAAUCUCUGGGCUUAACCCAGAACGGCCAGCUGAUACUGCUUUGCUAGAGUGCAGAAGGGGCAAUCGGAAUUCUUGGUGUAGCGGUGAAAUGCGUAGAUAUCAAGAGGAACACCUGAGGUGAAGACGGGGUUGCUGGGCUGACACUGACGCUGAGGCGCGAAAGCCAGGGGAGCAAACGGG